rnacentral:tRNA from 1 species
GGGGUUGUGGCUCAGUGGUAGAGUGUUUGCCUAGCACGUGUGAGACCCUGAGUUCAAUUCUUAGCACCA